UUUCUUUAGAAAAACUUAGGAUACAAGAUUUUCUUCUUAUCAAAUUUCCUCUGAAAAGGCAUGCCAAAUCUGAAAACUGCAAAACAUCUUUCUUAAGAUUAAAACCAAUGCGAAAAUCUGACCCACUUUGUUUUUUCCGAAUGCUCCAGACGAAAGCGAAAUUGAAUACUGGCAAACAUCAAAAAGCUGAGUCAAGGCUUCCAGAAGGAGACAUUUUGAAUUUUACAACUUAGGUGAUAUGAUUUAAUUUUCCCAUUAGUUUAAACCGAAUCUCGUUUCAAAUAGCAAAUUCGAUGCGCUUUCGACUCUGUUUUCUUACAGUUUAUUAAAAUUAUUAUUGGAAAUACCACAUAAAUGUUACCAUUCCUCUUUGUCAGCAAAAGGGAGAAAAGCCAUAAUCUAUGUUUAUAUUCAGAGAAUUCGACUCGUAAUUUUAAGUCGCUGAUCUAAGCAUAAAUGGUUAAGCUCAACCCAUGAUACAAUGAAUACAAGACUAGCACAGUUGCCAGUUGUGCAAUAAAGUAUAGCGUUAGCUGAAAAUGUAUCCUUGCAGAAAUAGUACAUUACGAUUCAAGAGACGG
rnacentral:lncRNA from 1 species